GGGCCCUUAGCUCAAUGGUUAGAGCAGCGGACUCAUAAUCCGUCGGUUGCAGGUUCGAGUCCUGCAGGGCCCACCA
rnacentral:tRNA from 1 species